rnacentral:rRNA from 1 species
CCUACGGGAGGCAGCAGUGAGGAAUAUUGGUCAAUGGCCGCAGGGCUGAACCAGCCAAGUCGCGUGAGGGAUGACGGUCCUAUGGAUUGUAAACCUCUUUUGUCAGGGAGCAAAGGGCGCCACGUGUGGCGCUUUGCGAGUACCUGAAGAAAAAGCAUCGGCUAACUCCGUGCCAGCAGCCGCGGUAAUACGGAGGAUGCGAGCGUUAUCCGGAUUUAUUGGGUUUAAAGGGUGCGCAGGCGGAAUGUCAAGUCAGCGGUAAAAUUUCGGGGCUCAACCCCGUCGUGCCGUUGAAACUGGCGUUCUUGAGUGAGCGAGAAGUAUGCGGAAUGCGUGGUGUAGCGGUGAAUUGCAUAGAUAUCACGCAGAACUCCGAUUGCGAAGGCAGCAUACCGGCGCUCAACUGACGCUCAUGCACGAAAGCGUGGGUAUCGAACAGGAUUAGAUACCCCAGUAGUC